rnacentral:misc_RNA from 1 species
UUUCCGUAGGUGAACCUGCGGAAGGAUCAUUCAUAAUAAAGUGUUUUAUGGCACUUUUUAAAAAUCCUUAUCCACCUUGUGUGCAAUGUUAGAUCUCGUCAAUCUUGGCGAGAUUUUUAUACAUCAACUCAUCCUUUAACUAAUUUGUCUGAAAAAUAUUAUGAAUACUUAAUUCAAAAUACAACUUUCAACAACGGAUCUCUUGGCUCUC